AGCAGCCGCGGUAAUUCCAGCUCCAAUAGCGUAUAUUAAAGUUGUUGCAGUUAAAAAGCUCGUAGUUGAAUUUCGGGAUCAAUAUAUCGGUCGUGCCUUGGUACGUACUGGUAUCAUUGGUCUCUCCUUUCUGACGAACCAUGAUGUCAUUAAUUUGGUGUCUUGGGAAAUCAGGACUGUUACUUUGAAAAAAUUAGAGUGUUUAAAGCAGGCUCACGCUUGAAUACAUUAGCAUGGAAUAAUGAAAUAGGACGUUUUGAUUCUAUUUUGUUGGUUUCUAGGAUCGACGUAAUGAUUAAUAGGGAUAGUUGGGGGCAUUAGUAUUCAAUUGUCAGAGGUGAAAUUCUUGGAUUUAUUGAAAGUACUAACUACUAGCGAAAG
rnacentral:rRNA from 1 species